AACACAGCAUAUUAGGAUCAGAUAUAAAGUGAAGGUAACAUAAGAUAAAAUAAGAAUAUAGAACAAAUAUACAAGAGUGAUCCAGAAAUGUGCAAAUGACAUAAAUAGAUGAGUUUACUGAUGUAAUGAAUGAUGUUAGAAUGUAAAGUGUCCGGCAUAUACAGGCUUUAAUGAGCAGACAGUGAGAGGGUCCUUCUGUCAUCUAUCAGACUGACUGAAGGACUUUCAUCUGACCGCCUCUUUCAGUGACAUUUUGAGACAAAUUCUCAGCCCGAAACAUUUAAUAAUGCUUAAAAUCAGGCACUGCUGACCGACUGUGCACUACAUUUGUGUAAUAUUGUAAAAUCAAACACUGUAUUUUCCAAUUUAAGAGACUAGACAGAUGCUGGAAACAGAAUGUGUUGAAUUGAAAAAGUGUGCAGACAAUAAAAAGGCAAUAUUGGUGUUAGUUAUACUGUGUUCUGAAAGAGUCAAUGGAAGCUUUUAAAUGGCCUCACAUUGAAGAGUAGUACUUAAUUUGCAAAGUAUUUGGAUCACUUCCUCAAGAAAUGAAGUUCAUUUGAUUCAGGGAAAGCCUUUAAAUCUUCUGUUCAGUUCCGAAGUUCAAAUGAAGACAGAGACGAGGAGAAAUGAUGUGAUGUUUGAGACUUCUUCCAGGAAAAGGCAUGAGGCAGUGCAGAGGAGCUGCAGCUUCUAAACACUCAAUUUUAAUUUGCUUCAUGUCGUCGUGCAGAAACCGCAGAGCUGUGAGUUUCAUUCUUAGUCCAUCCAGAGACCUGCAGCUUCCAGCGAAGCGCCUGGCAAACAUACAUGUUCACGUCUUCCGCUAGUUUAGCCCAGAAUAUAGCCCUACAGGCUAAAAUACAUCCCUUUUAAUAUGAGAUUACAUCAGCCAUAUGAAUUUCAUCUUAUUUAAGCACAAAUUAAUGAAAUUAAAUCAAAUAUUUUAGGCUAAAUGUAGCUGCAUAAUGGAUGAGUGGUUACAGUUAGAAGAUCCCCGGUUCAUGUCCCAGCCUUCCUGGAUCUUCCUGCAUGGAGUCUCCAUGUUCUCCUGUACAUGUGUGGCUUUUCUCCACGUUCUCCAGCUUCCUCCUCCACAAACAUGCUGAGGUUCUAAACUGUCUGUAGGUGUGAAUGUUUGUCUCUAUGUGCAGCCCUGUGAUGGACUGUUACCUGUCCAGAUUCAGCUGCUGCACAGCUUCUUUCUCACCUCAAAUGCUUUCAGAAAUACUUUUCGCUGAACUUUUUUGCGUAAUAAAAGUGAAAGUUUGUGGCCGUGUUAAGCAGACAGCUCUGGAGUCGUUUGUCCAAUCAGGGGCAGAUAGUUGGAGAAGAAGGAAGCAGGAGUUGAACAUCAGCUACUGGCCUCAAGGACACACCCAGCAAGAGGGAGAUUUUCAGAUGUGACGCGUUUACAUGCAGGAAAAACUCAUCUAGUGGACACACAGCGUCAGUCAGCUGGGACAGACUCCAGUCGUGACCCUAAUGAGGAUUAAACGGUGUAUAGAUGAUGGAUGGAGGAACUGAACAGACUGUGAACUUUCAAAAACACAAACUUUGAGUCGGCUGCACUGAUUGUACCCAAAACUCCUCCAAACAUACUAGAAAGUGGUGUUUUAGUGGUAGUUUAGUGGUGUUUUAGUGGUAGUUUAGUGGUAGUUUAGUGGUAGUUUAGUGGUGUUUUAGUGGUAGUUUAGUGGUGUUUUAGUGGUAGUUUAGUGGUAUUUUAGUGGUGUUUUAGUGGUAGUUUAGUGGUGUUUUAGUGGUAGUUUAGUGGUGUUUUAGUGGUAGUUUAGUGGUGUUUUAGUGGUAGUUUAGUGGUGUUUUAGUGGUAGUUUAGUGGUAGUUUAGUGGUAGUUUAGUGGUAGUUUAGUGGUGUUUUAGUGGUAGUUUAGUGGUAGUUUAGUGGUAGUUUUAGUGGUAGUUUAGUGGUGUUUUAGUGGUAGUUUAGUGGUGUUUUAGUGGUGUUUUAGUGGUAGUUUAGUGGUAGUUUAGUGGUGUUUUAGUGGUAGUUUAGUGGUGUUUAGUGGUAGUUUAGUGGUGUUUUAGUGGUAGUUUAGUGGUAGUUUAGUGGUGUUUUAGUGGUAGUUUAGUGGUAGUUUAGUGGUGUUUUAGUGGUAGUUUAGUGGUAGUUUAGUGGUGUUUUAGUGGUAGUGUUUUAGUGGUAGUUUAGUGGUGUUUUAGUGGUAGUUUAGUGGUAUUUUAGUGGUGUUUUA